UGAGAGGUGAAAUAGAGGGUGGGGAAGGAGCUGCCUGCGGGUGCAAGUAGUCCGUGGAGACUCACUCUUUUUCCUGCCGAGCUGCUAGCUGGCUGUCCUUGCCCUCUGCCCAAAGCUAGAAGCUAAGCUAAAACUCCGGCAUCAGAGGAAGUUUGGAAAAUGCAGCUUCUAUUCUGCCCAGUUCACGUUUGUGCCUUUCUGUAAAAUUCUGUGCCAGCAGGAUCAGCAAAGGGAACAGGUCAGAGAGACCCAGUCUCUCCGGGGAUAGCUCACCUUCAAAGUGUUUUCUCUGCCUUCCUUUUUGGACCUGAAACCUCAAAAGAGUAACUCCCAGUCAUUGAACUCGGGUGUUUAUGGGCUAAAAAGAGACCAUCUUUCAAUCAGUCAUUAUUUUUCUUGCCUUGGAAGAGACCACCAGAACUGCAGAGCAGUGGGAAGGAUGAGAGCCAAACCCUUAUUAUGAAGAAGAAGAAACAUGGGAAGCCACUGCUAUCAGCAUGUGUGUGCUUGUCCUCACUUCUCUUCCUGUGCAUAGCAUUGUGCACCUGGUUGGAGCCUUUAAUAACACCAGAAUGCAAUGGAGCAGACCCAGAGAUAAAAUAGCAGGAGCAGACACCACAUCCGUCCUUUAUAUGUUAUCACUGAUGCUUGUUUCUGUGCUGACUUUGCUGGGCACGAAUGCUGUGGAUGACUUGAUGAAGGGAUGGAUGUCUGCAGGAUGAUGAAAGACUGGGUCAGCCUUGAGGAAGGGACUAUCCAUCUCUUGAGAAGCCCUAGUACAAGUGGGAAAAAAAAAGGAAAAAAGAAAAACAAUAGGAAUACAUUAGAUGGUAAGGAAGAAAACUACUUAUCUCAUUAAUGGGGAGAAAACUAGCCUCUUUCAAACCUUCAGACUUUGAAAAAUUUUUAUAAGUCUUCUCAAAACAGUCCUCUCUACAGUUAACAGACUAACAGUGUGCAUUUGCCACACUCUUAAGUCACAAAAUGGUGGAGAUUUGGUAAAAAUGAAAACAAAUGGUGAGCAAAAGAGGUUUGUAAAAUUUUAGUGAUAUUAGCAUUAUGAGAAGAAAAUUAGAGAUGGCAUGAAUGUGUUUUUAAGAUUCUGCGCUUACACUGUCACUGCAGGUCUCAGGAGAAACAGUACCAAGGGGGUCAGAAGGUAACAGGCAAUCCUGACUGCCUAAUGCUCCUCACUUUUUUUCCCCAAACCCUUUUCUUCUCUAGACAAUGCAAACAGUUUUUCCAACCAAUAUCCCAUCAAGAGCUCCCGCUGUGUUAAAUGUGUCUCACCCCGAGAUUCACACUUUGGUGCUAUGCAGCGAAGUAAUGCCAUUGCUUCAUUGAAUCAAAAGUCUUUCAUUGCUCAGAGGGGUUGUCACCUCUUUGACAAUGUCAAAAUUAACUGCUUCACAGCAGGGGACGUCUUAGAAAUAAUGAAAGUUCCUGCCAUCGCUUAAGUAUAAGCAAGAUAACAGGCACUUAAGACAUAGAACUGUUAAUAUAGGGCCCUUUUUGUAAGGAUUUUCACCUAUAAGAUAAAAUGAAUUACCUCUGAGAUGGGGGAACAAAUGUUCUUAAAAAAACUAUCGCCUCUUCAUUCCUAAUGCCUAAUAGCCUGUAUUAUUUCAAAUAUGUCUCUGAUAUUAAAGAGGUACCUUCUUCCCCAACAGAGGAGCCCAGCAGGGCUUAUGUGCCAAAGGGCAGCACGGUAAAAAGUGAUUGAAGUGUUACUAGCAACUGCCUCCUAGCAAAGAAAGGAGCAUGUUAUGAAAAGUAAUGUCCAUUUUUUCUCAAGGAAAACACGUGCUCCCCCACAGUAUUAGUUAAGAAGAAAAAUGCUAGGAAAAUGGUAUGGACACAACAUAAACCGCCUUUCUGGAAAUGGGAUCUGCACAGAGGUUCUGUGACCCAUCAAGCACUCUUCUGUAGACUUCAGCCAAGUUUAUUUAGUUUGGGAAACCAUGUUUUUUUCUGCCAGAAAUCAGACUUUUUUUUUCCAGUUCAUCUAUGACAUCUAAUAAAUGACGCUUUGUUCACA
rnacentral:lncRNA from 1 species